UUAUCUUAUCAUACAAACCCUUUGGGGUUAUAGAAAUGUUCUACCAACAUUGGUUAAUCUUCGUGCCAAACAUAUUGAAGUAUCGGAUAUUUGUCCUCUAUGUAAUGGUGCGUCGGAGACUACUGAUCAUGUUCUUCUUAACUGCUAUUUUGCACAAGAAUGUUGGAGACAUACUGAUGUAAGUUUCUUUAUUGGGCAUGGAGGUACCAUAAUUCAGUGGAUUUAGAAUAUUUUCUUAGUUUUGGAUUCUGAUGAAUGUUGCAAACUCAUUGCUGUGGCUUGGGGUACCUGAAGAUGCCGAAACAGGAAGGUCUAGAACCAUAUAUUUCUUGAUUCUGCUUCUGUUGUUCGGCCUGAUCUUCGUUCUCUUUCAGAGUGGCAGGAAUUUGGUCAGUGUGUCAUGCACCAUUCUGUUUCUCAACCUCAAUUCCAAUCUGGUUGGCUUCAUCCACCAUCUGGUUUUCUUAAAUGUAACUUUGAUGCGGCCUUGAAUGUUGAAGCUAAUCGAAUGCGAGUGGAUUCUAUUGUUCGUGAUUCUUUUAGUCAGUUCAUUGCUGCAAGAUCAUGUCUUGUUGCUGGUUGCUCUAAUCCUUUGUUGGUAGAGUCUAUUUGUUUUCGUGAAGCACUUAGUUGGAUUAAGGAGAAUGGCUGGUGUAAUGUGCUUUUCGAAUUUGAUUCUUUAUUGCUAGUUCAAUCUUUUUUACAGCAGUGAUUUGGAUCUUUCAUAUAUAGGAUCAGUUAUUGUAGAUUGUAGAAUCCCUUUGAAUGAAUUGUCAAAUUGCAACCUAUGUUUUGUUGAGAAGUCAGCUAACCAGUGUGCUCAUGCUUUGGCCCGAGCAUAUGUUUUUUUGUCUGAUGAGAAUGUUUG
rnacentral:misc_RNA from 1 species